AUCCUGGUUCUUUCCACAGUUUGGCGACCGUGGCCAUUGCUGCUCUAAACAUUCCCUCACCCCGUUUCUGCAUGAGGCCUCUCUCUGUCUCUCUCUCUCUCAAAUAAUCUUUUUUAAAAAAGCACGCUAAACGAAAUGCCGUCACCAACGAUCUGUCAACGACUGAGUGAUUGGAAGUGGUUUGUUCGGCCUUCUGUCGCGUGUGAUACUCUCUCCUUGGUUUCCCCAGUUUUUGUUGUGCCUCCUGGGACCCCCACUCUUCUUCUGAUUCCUCUGCGGCCUUGUUCUGUCCCACACUCAGAGUGCGGCAGGACCAUAGGAGCCUGUGCCCUGUGCGGACCUAUUUCCGUUCUUGGCUCCACCGUUGAGUGAGAUACAGAGAGGCAAGCCAAGGGAAGCAGAGCAAGUAACUUUUGUCAAGGGGCCGUCGGAGGUCCUGGGUUCUUGCACGGGGGUAGGAUGUCUGUGCUUCUGCAUGGUAGUCAAGGGGUGGGGGUGGGGGCAGGGGUGGGGCAGCAGAUGGCCCCGAGGAAGGACUGGCAGGGUCCGCAGUGGCGUGGCACCCCUUGGGUAUGGGUGAUGCGAUUGUCAGAUGUCGGCUUUCCACCCAGGGAGGGCAGAGACCCUUCAAGAUCCGGGUCGGGGAGGAGGAAGCUUGGAGAGAAGAUGCUAAGGUUUUGGCCAUGCUGGCUUCUGUCAUCCGCGCCUUGGAAGUGACUGAUUUACAACUUCUCCCAGGUGGGAUGCCAGUGGGUGGGUAACAGAGUU